rnacentral:rRNA from 1 species
ACAUGUACGGAAUUAGCCAGAGAUGGCUUAGUGCUCGAAAGAGAACCGUAACACAGGUGCUGCAUGGCUGUCGUCAGCUCGUGUCGUGAGAUGUUGGGUUAAGUCCCGCAACGAGCGCAACCCUUGUCAUUAGUUGCUACAUUUAGUUGGGCACUCUAAUGAGACUGCCGGUGACAAACCGGAGGAAGGUGGGGAUGACGUCAAGUCCUCAUGGCCCUUAUAGGUAGGGCUACACACGUCAUACAAUGGAUGGUACAAAGGGUCGCCAACCCGCGAGGGGGAGCCAAUCCCAUAAAACCAUUCGUAGUCCGGAUCGCAGUCUGCAACUCGACUGCGUGAAGUCGGAAUCGCUAGUAAUCGCAGAUCAGCAGGCUGCGGUGAAUACGUUCCCGGGCCUU